AAAAUAAAAGCAGUGAAAUGGACAAGGUGACAGUUAAGGCCUUGAAUCAGAAGAGCCUCUGACAAUGUGACAAAUAGCUUUCUGGAAGCCACUAACUGCUGAGUCCCAGACUGUCAAUCCACAAAGAUUUCACUGAAAAUUUAAGAGAAAAUGAAAGCUACUCAGUCUUUCUCAUAGUAGUCUUUUAAGGAAAUAAAACAUGCAAGAAAAUACUGCAGUAACCCAGGAGAAAUGAAAAGCACAGACUGCACACUGGGACACGUGUUACAUGGCUGGCUCAAGGAGCUUCAGAAGCAGAGGCUCACGGACUGGGCCAAACCAGACAGUGCGCUCCUACUCAGACCUUUCCUGAUUUUCAGGAUUUGCGCCAACACCCACCUUAAUGCCUCAGAGAUGCUUGCUGAAUGGCUGACUUCUCUGAAAGGGAAAACAGCAGAAUCUGAGAGGGGAGAGUGGAGCGGAGUUCUUCCUCCCCUGUGCUAACAGGUAUGUGAUUCCUAUUAUUGUCUUUGGUGGGAAGGGAAGCAUGAGGCAGGCCCCUGGUCUACAGUGGAAGUGAAGCCUGAGGAUAGGCUAAGAAUUAGGGAAAUUAACAGGCUCCUAGGAGUCAGAAUGCUCAGCUUCUAUUCCCAGCACUGCUUAAAAUUUUCAGGGGAAAGUACUUUAUAAUCCUUGCAGCAUUUGGUGCCUUUAUUAGAAAAUCCUUUUAUGUGAGAUUUUGAGUUUCUUAUUUUCUCUCCUCACCAGGAUAAUGCACAGAAAGAGCUGAGGUGGGAGUCCGAGAGACAGGGGUCUGACAUGUAUAAUAUACUCUGCUGCACAGGAUUAUCAUGAGGGUUAAAUGAAAUAAUAAAUGUAGAUUACACUUAGCUCAGGACCUGCCACACACUUAGCUGAGGGCCAGGAAUUCAAUAACCAAUGACUAUCAAUGUCAAUCAUUCUAGCUAUUUUGUAGAUGCAAAGUCCAAUAGAAACAGAAAGGGUGCAAAGCUAAAACUUUUAAAAUACUCAGACCCAGACUCUAAUCCAUUAAAAAAAAAAAAGCAAAAAACAAAAAAGAUAAUCCCUAAUUUUUCUUAACCUUGCAUUUUUCCAUUGAGAGGUGGUGACUUCCUAAAAUGGAGGUAGACAGAUAGAUAGAGAAUCUGUAUAACAACAUACGUAAUCUAGAUACCUAUAUCUUUAUAAGGAAACCAGGUAAGGGACACUUGAGAAAC
rnacentral:lncRNA from 1 species